UUGAAGAUAGUGUUGAUGUAGAGAAACACAUGGGCACACAUACACACAUACAGUACACUCAUUCACAGACACACACACACACACACACACACACACACACACACACAGUAAACUCAUUCACAGACACACACAUAUAGUACACUCAUUCACAGACACACACACACAGUACACUCAUUCACACACACACACACACACACACACACACACACACAGUAAACUCAUUCACAGACACACACAUACAGUACACUCAUUCACAGACACACACACACACAGUACACUCAUUCACACACACACACACACACACACACACACACACACACACACACACACACACACACACAGUAAACUCAUUCACACACACACACACACACAGUACACUCAUUCACAGACACACACACACACACACAGGGGAUAAGGGGAAUAGAGUGGAUAGAGUGAGGAGAGGAGUGAGGAGAGGAGAGGAGAGAGUAGAGUGAGGAGAGGAGGGAGUGAGGAGAGGAGGAGAGGAUGAAAGGAGAGAGUAGAGUGAGGAGAGGAGGGAGUGAGGAGAGGAGAGGAGAGAGGAGAGUGAGGAGAGGAUGAAGUGAGGGGAGGAGAGGAGAGGAGAGGAGGAGGGAGAGGGGAGGAUGGGGAGGAGAGGAGAGGAGGAGGGAGAGGAGAGGAGGGAGAGGGGAGGAGAGAGUAGAGUGAGGAGAGGUUAAAGUGAGGAGAGGAUGGGACGGGAGAGGGGAGAGGAGAGGGUGAGAGAAAGGAGGAGAAAAGGGAAGAGGAAGAGGAAUGAAGAGUGGAGAGGAGGGAUGGAUAGAAGAGAGAAGAGGUGAAGAGGAGAAGCAAAGAUGAGAGGGAAAAUAUGGGGAUGCGAGAAGAGGAGAGGAGAGGAGAGGAGAAUGAAAUCUAUUUCCUGCAGGCUGAGGCCUCUCUGUGGUGUGUGUGUGUGUGUGUGUGUGUGUGAUGGGCAAAGGGGUCAUCUCUUAAGGGUGUGAGAUGAUAGACUGAGGUCUCUCUGGUGUGUGUGUGUGUGUGUGUAAUGGGCA
ensembl:lncRNA